CCCUUAGAUGUCCUGGGCUGCACGCGCGCUACACUGAUGUGUCCAGUAAGCACCUAACCUCUUCCGAAAGGAACGGGUAACCUUUGCAAAGCACAUCGUGAUGGGGAUAGAUUAUUGCAAUUAUUAGUCUUGAACGAGGAAUUCCUAGUAAGCACAAGUCAUCAGCUUGUGUUGAUUACGUCCCUGCCCUUUGUACACACCGCACGUCGCUCCUACCGAUUGAAUGUUCCGGUGAGCUCUUCGGACUGCGCGGUCUGCAGUUUCUGCGUUCCGUGCGGAAAGUUGCGCAAACCUUAACAUUUAGAGGAAGGAGAAGUCGUAACA
rnacentral:rRNA from 1 species